ensembl:snRNA U6 U6 spliceosomal RNA
GUACUCGCUUUGGCAGCACAUAUAUUAAAAUUGGAAAGAUACAGAGCAGAUCAGCAUGGCCCCUGCACAAGGGUGACAUGCAAAUUCAUGAAGCAUUCCAUAUUUUU